GUCUCAGACUGGUUACUUAGUGUGAAUCACUCUGGGAACAUGGAAAUGGUCUGUACAUAACCAUCUGUCGUUUCUCCUCUUAGCCGUCAAGACAUUUCGUCUUGGUCGAAGCUUUACACAUCAGUGAAGAAUGUUCGAACAUGCCAUGUUUUUGAGGGGUUCUAACCUUGUUAAGUAACCGCUUAGGAUGGAUCAAACGGUCUCCCUGCGUCUUGGCAAUUACGAAUUGCCUUCACUUUUUUUCUUUUUAGUAUAUACAGUUUGUACCAAAGGUACCAGUGCACCACAAUCCUGAGAGUACAUUUCGAUUCCUGGAGCUCUUUGACGAUGGCCAUCAUUGAUUUUUCCGGGAUCAUCAUUGAUAUUUUGAACCCAUUAGCUGAAUUGCUGUGUCCUUGUGGUGUCCGAAAGUUUUCAAAGUUUUUUUCCUCUUCGAUACAGUUGAGAUAUUCCCGCAAGAGGCUUCUAAUUCCACCCGAACUUUGUGUACAAAAGAUCUUACAACAUUUAGAAAAUUGAAAAUUUUUAAAUGUACACAUAUGGCAAGAUUGACUGCAUUUCUUUUCAUUUCUUGUGUUAGCUUUUAUCUGAACUUGGUAACUGAAAGAAAUUAAAAAGGUUUAAUUAUUUGAAGACAGUAAUAUACUGAUAAUUAAAUGCCCUCAAAUACAUAUUGCACUCUGUACAUACAAGCAUACAUACAUACAUACAUACGUACGUACGUACAUCCAUCCAUCCAUCCAUCCAUACAUACAUACAUACAUACAUACAUACACACACACAUACAUAUACAUACAUACAUACAUACAUACAUAGCCUGUAAAACUUUCCAAAAGUUUAUUAUUUAAGUAUAUAUGAGCAUCUAGACAUGCAACUAUAUGCAUGGGAAUAUAUACAUAAAACAAAAUAUACAAAUCUACUUUAUAAAUAUAUAUAUAUAUAUAUAUAUAUAUAUAUAUAUAUAUAUAUAUAUAUAUAUAUAUGUAUGUAUGUAUGUAUGUAUGUAUGUAUGUAUGUAUACGAGCAAAACUCCCCCCGUACAAUGGACGGUGCUGAGUUGUCAAACAUUUAAACCAAAUUUUCUCAAAACAACUUGUCCGACCGUCCCUUAGGCCUCCCCUUUGAGAAACACUGAUUUAGCCUUAAUUUGAGACACCAGCAAAAGAAGAAAUAAAGAUAGACUUUUUUCUAUUCCAAAGAAAAACGAUUUUAUUCGCACAAAUAUGCAACCGAAGAGUUUAAAGUACCAGUAAUGAUAAGGCUGUUGACUGGGAGAACACAAACAUGGUUUAAACAGUAAGCUUGGCAGGAAAGAAACUUGACUUUAAGCAGUACAGAAACAACAAAAAAUGGAAGGUGCAGUUAUGUACAGGUUGACGGAAGAAAAGCAGGACAAAAACGGCUUUAUCGAUCGCAUUCUCACCUGGAAUCAAUUUUUGUAACUUUUAUCAAAACUUAUACACGCCCUGAUACUGUCAGUAUCUACAUAUCAAAUUUGAGCGCAAUCGGAUAUAGGAUAUCCGAGAUUCUAGAAGGCACACACACAGACAGACAGAACGGAUUUUAUAUAAUAUAUAUAUAUAAGGCGGGUAAAAUUCUCAAGAUCCAUGGACGAGUUCUCGCCAGCGGUCUUUGUCCCUCAUCAUCACUGCCAUGUCCUGUGUCUCCCAGAGACCAGUGUCAUCCUCGGUCUCUUCUUUUAGUAUGUCUGUGCAGGGGCUCCCACAAGAGCACUGAGUGCAGUAUCAACUCUGAAUGACGGUGAACAUGUCCAGCUAAUCUUUGAAAUCUGUAUGGAAGACUUCGUAAAGAUCUGAAGAUCCGUCUCUUCGUUGCUGCAGUGGAGUGUGUACUGUUGUACGAGUCUGAGACUUGGACACUGACCAAGAAACUCACUUAGAUGGUGGAUGGGUGCUACACGAGAACGCUGAGAAUGGUUCUAAACAUUAAUCAGUACACACUGAGGAUGAAGAACUCAGAGCUGUACGAGAGUCUCCCAAUAGUUACAUAUAUAUAUACAUAUGUAUGUAUUUGUGUUUGUCCCCCCACCAGCAUCGCUUGACAACUGAUGUUGAUGUGUUUACGUCCCCGUAACUUAGCAGUUUGGCAAAAGAGAUCCAUAGGAUAAAUACUAGACUUACAAAGAAUAGGUCCUGGGGGUCGAUUUGUUCGGCUAAAGGCGGCGCUCCAGCAUGUCUGCAAUCAAAUGACUGAAACAAAUAAAAGAAUAAAAGAAUAGAAGUACAUACAUAUCUUGUUGAUUCUGUUGAAAUUCCAGUGAAGGAACCUUGGAUCUAGGUUAGAAACCAGCUAUUACUCUACUUGGAAAAAAUCUUGAAAUAAAUAUGUAUGAUAUACAUACAUACAUACAUACAUACAUACAUACAUACAUACAUACAUACAUACAUACAUACAUACAUACAUACAUACAUAUUUACGAUAUACAUGGUAAUGAUCGUCAACUCGAUUGUGAUGAAGGGAGCACAUAAUUUUGUCAAGAACGACACCAACAGCUACUCCGCACUUGUACAUUCGUCCAAAAUGGAUUUUUCAAUAUGGCAGAUGACCACAGUUUUGAACAUAAAGGACAGUAGUGUUCUACUGGGGCUACUGCAGCUUCAUGCAUUUAAAUAACGUUAAAUGUAACUUUUUCUGGAUGACAAGACUGACAUUUGAAAGUGUAAUACACAUAGAAAAAGUGUACGAUCAUCGCUACACCGUCAGCAUAGAGGACUUUGACAGACUGAAGUCUAUGGCACUACAGUUCUUUAUUUGAUAGACAAUACUGUUUUUCUCAAACCGCUUGUUGUCUUUCCUAGUUAUAAACUGUCAUUCCGCUACUGGUCAGAAUGGGAUACUCCCGAUUAGAUAAAGUGAUUUGCAAGGCCGCAAGGCGUUGGCUUUUGUGAUAUCAUGAAAUCUCUCUUAUUUCCUUCCUUUUUUUCACUUGUCUAGAAUUGAUAAAGUAAUAAUCUUUUGCAGCCUGAUAUCUUCAAGACAGAUGACCAUUCCAUCGCAUAAAAUGUAUUGGUGAUCUUCCAUAUGAUAAGAUGGUCUUCCAUAAUGAGACAGCCCUCUUUUUCAGAAUUUCUAUGUCAAGUGUAAAAGAUUUCCAGCUAAUGUUUAAUAUAUAUUUUAGACAGUUCCCGUAUAAACUUUUGAAUACUUUUAUAUACCGUCGGUAUGGAAUCUAUGUCUCAGAUGAGUAUGACAGUGAUGUGAUAACGUAUGCUUAGCGUACGCAAAGUUUGGUGAACUGUUUUAAUUCUUGUCUGACUAGAUUCGAUACCCCGGUGUCCCGAACAUAAAACUUUUUUUAAUACUGAUGUUGAUCUCAGAAUCUUGAAAGCUGACUAGUCACACAAAAUAAUCCGCUACAUCUAACAUGGUCAUUUGAACAUAUACAAGCACUAUAGAAAAACAUCAUCGUUUUUCGAAUAUGUUGUUCUUUGUGAGCCACUACAUCAUAUCAGCAUGCAGCAAAUUGCUCACUAGAGUCACAAAUAUCGAUUUAAUUUUUAGACGCUUCAGAUUAAACUGUGGAAGGUGUUUAUAAGCCAUUUAAGAAACACACAAAAUCCGUUAGAUUCACUUCAACAUUUAAAUUUAAUUUCUCAAAAUAUUUUCGUCGUUUUGAGACCACAACCUGUUCACUGACAAAAUUACAAAAUUCCGUGCUGCACAAAUUAAAUUUAAAUGUUGAAGUGAAUCUAACGGAUUUUGUGUGUUUCUUAAAUUGCUUAUAAACACCUUCCACGCUGCAAUUGUUUUCGUUCCAGCACACGAUCUCAGAUCAGGUCACUUGCUAUGCAAGUACAUCUCCGUAAUUCAGAUUAAACUGUUUGCCCGUUAUGCGAUAACAAAGAUGCUCUAAUCAUAGUCUUUUAAUGCAUGAGCAAUUACAGCUGCAACGUAUAUGGAGAACAAAGGGUGUGUAUAUUCUUUGCUCUAUGCACAUCUCUUGGAACUGUCUGACGCUAAAUAUGUAGGCGUAGGAGUGGCUGUGUGGAGGCGUAGGUGUCGCUGUGUGGUAAAUAGCUUGCUUAUGAACCAUAUGGUUCCAGGUUCAGUCCAACUGCGUGGCACCUUGGACAAGCGUCUUCUGCUAUAGCCUCGGGCCGAACAAAACCUUGUGAGUGGAUUUGGUAGACGGAAACUGAAAGAAGCCUGUCGUAUAUAUGUAUUUAUAUAUAUGUAUGUGUGUGUAUAUGUUUGUGUGUCUGUUUGUCCCCACCUCCAACAUCGUUUGACAACCGAUGCUGGUGUGUUUACGUCCCUGUAACUUAGCAGUUCGGCAAAAGAGACCGAUAGAAUAAGUACUGGGCUUACAAAGAAUAAGUCCUGGGGUCGAUUUGCUCGACUAAAGGCGGUACUCCAGCAUGGCCACAGUCAAAUGACUGAAACAAGUAAAAGAGUAAAAGAGUAUGUGUGUGUGUGUAUAUAUGUAUAUAUAUAUAUACGUUUAAAUAUUUGUUGUGCAAGAUUUUUUAUGUGAAGUCGUGUGUUGAAACAGAUAUUGUUAUAUUUCGGAAUGGUCAUAUUGCCAGUUUAGCCAAUAAAAACACACGCACUAUAUAUUUGGUGUUAUUUUGCUUCAGUGAUAUUUAUUUUUUACAUUAAUCUUAAUCUUAUUUCGGCCAAAGUUCUUUCGUCACACUCCUGUGACCGCAUCAGUGGUCCUUUGUUUUCUUCUCACUUACUUGUGUCUCUCCUUACUAACCGUCAGCCAUUUUGUAUUUCUAUUGUAUACAAUAGAAAUACAAAAUGGCUGACGGUUAGUAAGGAGAGACACAAGUAAGUGAGAAGAAAACAAAGGACCACUGAUGCGGUCACAGGAGUGUGACGAAAGAACUUUGGCCGGAAUAAGAUUAAGAUUAAUGUAAAAAAUAAAUAUCACUGAAGCAAAAUAACACCAAAUAUAUAGUGCGUGUGUUUUUAUUGGCUAAACUGGCAAUAUGACCAUUCCGAAAUAUAACAAUAUAUAUAUAUAUAUAUAUAUAUAUAUAUAUAUAUAUAUAUUUAUAUAUAAUGUAAAGUAUAGAAGCCAUCUUAUCAUGGCUUCUAUACUUUACAUUAUCGAGCGAUUACUGUUUCAAUCUCAUUCUGAGAUUUAAUAUAUAUAUAUUAUAUAUAUAUAUAUUAUAUAUAUAUAUAUAUAUAUAUAUAUAUAUAUAUAUAUAAGAUACCUGCUAGAUGUCAGUCCACAUUAAGACACUGGGACUACAUUGAAGCACAUGAGUAUCAGCAAAUGAUUCAAUAAAGGCCAGGUAAAUAUCUUAUUUCCAGUUCCAAAUAAGAAACCACAACGUCAGUUAUCACAGUUUAUUUGACACCUUUUACCCUUGUACAAUGAAAUCACAAUUGAGUCUCUCUGAUUCUGCAGGACCAGUGAACCAUGCUAUGCGUUAACAAUUAAUGUGGUCACAAGAUUAGCCACUACAUCGUCAUUAUACUCAACAAACUUAGCUAAGAUACCACCAAUUCAUGCAGGGGAAGGAGCUAUCCAAGCAAUUUUCUCGGCAAUGCUCGUAUAUAUUAUGAAUAGAUUGCAAAAAAGAUCCGUGAAAUGCGCUGUUCAUGUCUUCAGAAUACCUUCCAUACCACUGAGUAAGACAUAUACAUCUUAAAAGGGAGAGGAAUAAUAAUUGAUUGGAGGGGACCAAAUUUUGAUUUUUAGUCUUUUUUGUCAAAAGCCAAACAAAUAUCUAAGUAUAUGUUCAACUACCACACAUUAUUCAUUGUCCUUAGUCCUUUCUGCAAAGCUGAUUUACGGCACAUUAAUAAUUUCUCUAAUUAUUCUGUUCCAGAUAAAUUAGGAUUAAGCAAUUUCUGGUGUAAUUUAUACCCGAUAUCUAGAAGCUCAGAUAUUUCUGAUUUAUUUUCAACAAACCAAGCUUGGUUUACGUGUCUUAAAGCCCCCAAAGUUACAGUGGCAUAAACGUUUGUUUGAAGUCUGACCAUGAGCCAACAGGCGUUGUAUUUCGAAAGCAUUGUAAAUAAAUGCAGAGGCUCUGAGUUAGUCAGCAUUUCGCCAUUUUGGAGCCAUUGUGUUAUUUGUUGUAAACUUCAGCAUUGUAAUGAGUAGAGGCCCGUCCAACACGUAGCCCCUUGCAAGACUGGAACGCAAAAGAGAUCACGAAUUUCAUGUUUCUAUAGAAUGACAAAGUCAAUAAGAUAAUCUAAUUUCAACUGGGGUAGGCAAGUUGAAAUUUUAUGCAUGAGUUUUGGGCGGAACGGUAUGUUGCUUAGCAUAAGACCUAGCGUGAAUUAUAACUAUAUCAUGCAAAUACCGUUUCUAUUCAUUUUACGUGUGUCAAAGCGUCCUAAGUUAUACCACGAAUUGUAGUUACGCCCUUCACUGGGAUUACAGCCAGCAGAUAAGAUGAUUUUUGUCGCCAGUUGAUAUGGCGAGAAUAGCAUUUCUAAAGCUCUCGUAAAACAAGAUAUAGUUUGUUUUUUUCUGUUGACUGGUAAUCUAUGAGUCAUGUAACGUGGUAAGGUUUUUCAGUCUUAUUAAGAGAAAAAAACGUACAAACAUGCGCAGUUGUUCUCUUUCCUUUAUCUUUUAUCUUCCACUCUUUCAGUUGUCAUUUUUUUUCAUAACAAUACAAAUAUUUCGUAAUUUGAAUAUGCAAAAAGAACUUAUAAUGCUUGUACAAAUACAUAUGUAUGUAUGUAUGUAUGUAUGUAUGUAUGUAUGUACGCAUGCAUAUAUUUAUAUAAACAUGUGUGUAUAUAUAUGUAUGUAUAUAUAUAUAUAUAUAUAUAUAUAUAUAUAUAUAUAUAUAUAUAUAUAUAUAUAUAUAUAUAUAUAUAUAUAUAUAUAUAUAUAGGCGCAGGAGUGGCAAUAGGCGCAGGAGUGGCAAUAGGCGCAGGAGUGGCUAUAGGCGCAGGAGUGGCUGUGUGGUAAGUAGCUUGCUUACCAACCACAUGGCUCCGAGUUCAGUUCCACUGCGUGGCAUCUUGGGCAAGUGCCCUUUACUAUAGCCUCGGGCCAACCAAAGCCUUGUGAGUGGAUUUGGUAGAUGUAAACUGAAAGAAGCCCGUCGUAUAUAUGUAUAUGUAUAUAUGUAUAUGUGUAUAUAUAUAUAUGUGUGUAUGUAUGUAUAUGUGUGUGUGUGUGUGUGUGUGUGUGUGUGUGUGUGUGUGUGUGUGUGUGUAUGUGUGUGUGUGUGUUUGUGUGUGUGUGUUCGUCCCCCUAGCAUUGCUUGACAACCAAUGCUGAUGUGUUUAUGUCCCCGUCAUUUACCGGUUCGGCGGAAGAGACCGAUAGAAUAAGUACUAGGCUUACAAAGAAUAAGUCCUGGGGUCGAUUUGCACGACUAAAGGCGGUGUUUCAGCAUGGCCGCAGUCAAAUGACUGAAACAAGCAAAAGAGCAAGAGCAAAGAGCAUAUGCAUAUAUAUAUGUAUAUAUAUAUGUGUGUGUGUGUGUGUGUAUAGACAAACUUAUUUGGAAAUGGAUGCGUGGCGUUCAAUCAAAUAAUAAUAUAAUAUAUAGAUAUAUGCGUACAUACAUAUAUAUAUGUAUAUAGGUAUGCACAUAUGAGUCGUACGUCAUAAAACGUAAACAACAUGAAAUACGAAAGUAAAGUUGGGUACGCAAAGAACGAGAGAAACAAAUGGAAAACAAGACAAGUAACAUAAAAGCGACCCUUCAUCAUUUGUCGGCUGUUCUACACCUUAUUUCGAGCACAUUGCUCGAAAUAAGUUAAGGUGUAUAACACAUGCGUCCUCCCAUCUUUGCUAUAUGGAAACGCGGCAUGGGUUGUUUGCCGUAGGCAGGUAAGCUAAUUGGAACGAUUUCAUCAAUACUGACUGAGAAAAAAUUUGGGGGAUAAACUGGAAAAUGGGCAUUGGUAAUGUGGAAGUGCUUGAGAGGAGUGGCAAUAAAAGUAUAGAGUAAAUGAUUUUUCAAAGACGUUUGAGGUGGAGGGGGACAUUUGGUAAGGAUGAGUGAUGAGCGACUGCCCAAGCAGCUAUUGUAUGGUGAGCUGGAAGAUGGCAGGAGUCCAACGUUUAAGCCUAAACUAAGGUUUAAGGAUUGCCUAAAAAAUGCCCUAAUACAGACAGGAAUUGCAGGCUAUGUCAUAUUUCUGUGGAAGACAUCACGCAUGUGAUUAGCAACUGUCCUAAAAUGUCAUCACGGUACUACCUCCCUAUGCAGUACUAUGUUGUCGCUAAACCAAUUUACAAUGCCAUCUGCAAAAGAGAUUGUCCUGAAAUAAACUUAGAAAAUCCUUCUGUUAUGGAAUACAUUCGCAAAUACCAGCUCAAAGAAUACUGGCGGAAUAUUUUGAGGCAGAGGGGCAAAGGUGUGUACCGUGAUAGGGGUCAGAUGCCCCUAUCAGGACUGGUUGUCAAUCGGAACUGGGGACAACCGUACAUACACACACACACACACACACACACACACACACACAGAAGAAUAUGCCUGUGUGGCGUGUGUGUAUAAAUAUCUCUUUGAAAAUCAAAGAAGGAUAUCUAUGGACAACUGCUUCGAAACCUCCAGCUUCUAUAUCCAGACUAUGAAUUCAUAUUCAUACCAAUAAUAAUUGGUGCACUAUGUUUUGUUAGUAAAUGCUUAAUGAAGAAUCUGGAUAAACUGGAAUUUUCAGUAAGAGAAAUCUAUCGGCUAAUUCGAACAUUACGAGUGCAAUCUGUGAGUGGAACAGUAAAAAUAUGCAAGACUUUUCUCAAGUUUCAAAUGUGAAUUUGUCUGUGUUAACUACAUCCCAAAGAUGGAGCCUUGUCUCUUUGUUGGAAACCGGCUCCCUUCUUAGUGGAAUAUUUAUAAUAAUUAAAAAGUAGAAGAGACAUACAUACAUACAUACAUACAUACAUACAUACAUACAUACAUACAUACAUACAUACAUACAUACAUACAUGGUGGCUGCCCCGUCGUUAUCGAGUAUGGCCAUUGCACAAAGCUUAAUCAAUGUUGUUAUCGUGCAAUGCCUGUGCAAAAAUAUUUUUUUUUAAGUGGGGAAAGGCUGUGCACUGAGUCAAUCCCACUCACUAAGCAACAGCAGCCAUAAUCCGAAAAGAAGAACAAGUCAACGUCUUAGGUAACCACUGAGCCGCAAGUUUUAUAUCGGAGUUAUCCCAGUUACCUGAGUUACCUUCUCCUAGAAGGAUGCCCUAACAAAGGCUAGGAGUCCUUCACUCCCAAUGGUUUAAUACAUACAUAUUUCCAAUCUAUUAGUGGCACAGUGAAGAUUUGUAAGACAUUCGAAAAAUUCUACGUCUGAGAUUCUUAUGCGAAUACAAUGCACAUGCUUGGGUUUAAGCAUUGACACUUCAACCAACACACCAACUCUGCCACAGAUUUACAAACACCAGACACUCUCUUAAUUCAAAAUGUCUUGUCACUUCGUUAGGGAGCGGCUUGAAUUCUCACAAGAACUUAAAUAAAACUCAAAGAAAAAUCAUACACUCGCGCGCGCACAUAUUUGUAACAUGCAUAUACAAUCGCACAUGUCUGUGUGCGCGUAAAUUUUAUUAAUGAAAUAGCAACAAAAUAAACAAAAUUCUAAUAAACAUAAUAUAAUAAAUACUGUUCAGUACCAUAUCGAAACUAGUAAUAGAGAAGCACGCAUACAUACAUACACACUCAAGCGUACAAACAUAGACGUACACGCAGAAAUAGCCAGCAGGAUGCGAAGUCUGAAGUUAGGAAGGAAAAUCGAACCAAGAAUUCAGAUAACCUAACGUUUUUAAAACAUACCAGAGUCACCAUGAGUCACAUCUAUGAUGUGCAUUUAAUGCAGGUUUGUAUGAAUCACUGCAACAGCAACAUGGCUAGUGGAAACAACUGAGGCUGUCUGUGCCAGACAGCGCCAGACAUGCAGUCAUGUAAUGUGCAUCGACAGCUGUAAUUUAUGCAUGCACAGUGUGCACAAAUGAGUGUGCAUGUUCUAUUUUAAUGUCUACCUACGUUGCAUUUCACUAUGACGUGACGUGCAAUUGAACGAUGCAUCGUCUAACAUCUUUAUGAGAGAUGGUGAGGCGUAAAUAAAUUAGGAGUGUAUUAACAGACGUUAACAUACGCACACGCAUAUGCAUGUAUAUAUGUGUGUUAUAUAUCUUUUGUAAGUAUGUAUGUAUAUAUAUAUAUGUACACAUAUAUAUAUAUAUAUAUGAAUACAUAUAUACAUACAUAUAUAUAUAUGCUUACAUACACGCAGACACAUAUACAUCGAUAUAUAUAUAUGUAUACGUUAAUGAAUAUAGAUAUAUAUUACAUAAAUAUGUAUAAAUACGUGCAUGUGGAGGUAUAGAUAUGUGUGAUAUGUGGACGUGCUUGUAUGUUUAUAUAUGUAUAUGUGUGUGUGUGUGUGUAUAUAAACACACGUGUAUAAAUUUUAAUGUAUAUCUUUCUAUUUAUAUAUACGUGUGUGUGUGUGUGUGUAUACUCAUAUACAUACGUUCAUGCAUAUAUCCAUGCAUGCAUAUAUACAUUGAUAGAUAUAUAUAUGGAAAGGUGCAUAUGCAUGCAUACAUAUACACGUAGAUACACAUACAUGCAUGUGUGUGUGGCCUUAUGUCUAAGGUUAAAAAGUUUGCUUCGCAACAACGCCGUUCUGGGUACAUUUCCGGGUUGACCAAUAUUUUGUGGGUUGGUAGGAACCCGUGAGACGUCUGUGACCGUGUAUGUGCGCACGGUUAGGCGCGUGUGCAUAUGUGUGCGAACGUCUGUGCGUAGAAGUGUGUGUGUGGAGUCCUUCAGACGUCAUUAAAAUAAGUAGCAGACUGAAUGUAUACUGGAGUCGAUACGAUCAACGAAAUUCUUAAAUGCGACGCCACGAGUUCAAUAUACAUGUACGGACACACGCGCGCGCACACACACACUCACACACACACACACAUACACACACACACACACACACACACAUUCACAUACUCACGUGCACACCAGUACACACGCACAUACAUGCGCCCAUGUAUAAUUCUUUUCAACUCUAGGCACAAGGCCCGAAAUUUUGGAGGAGGUGGGGCCAGUUGAUUAGAUCGACCUCAGUACGCAACUGGUACUUAAUUUAUCGACCCCGAAAACAUUAAAGGCAAAGUCAACCUCGGCGGAAUUUGAACUCAGAACGUAGGCACCCAUGUAUAAUUUUGCAUGAAAGAAAUAGAUAUGUACUCUAAAACCCGUGGACUAGAAGCAAUAUCUUUGCUUCAGAUCUUGAUAAGUUAUGUGUACAAGAAUCUUGCAAAAUGAGUUUGCAUCGGAUUUCUGGAUUUUCUGGUUUUCUGGUGAUAGUCUAAAUAUAUAUAUAUCUUUCUCCCUUUUACUUGCUUCUGUCAUUGAACUACAGAUACUGAGGCACCGAGUUGUAGAGAUUUGGUCGAAUGAAUCGAUUUCGGUAUUCCUUUUUUAAUACUGUUACUUAUUCUAUCGGUCUCUUAUACGAAAUUGCUAAGUUACUGGGAUGUAAACAAACCAGGACUGGUUGUCAAUGGGGACAACCGUACACACACACACACACAGAGAAGAAUAUGCCUGUGUGGCGUGUGUGUAUAAAAUACAUACAUAAGUGUGUGUGUACGACGGAUUUCUUUCAAUUUCUAUCUGCCAAAUGUACUCACAAGGCUUUGGUCGACCCGGGGCUAUAGUAGAAGAUACUUACUCAAGAUGUCACACAGUGAGAUUGAAACCAGAACCAUAUGGUUUGGAAGUAAAGUUCUUAAUACACAACCAGGUACAAUAAACUAUGAUAAAAGUAAAAGAAUUAAAGUGCAUUUAACAGAUUCAAAUUGAGUCACUUCUAAAGCAGGGUCUCCUUAAUAUUAAUCUACUUACUACUCUCUACAACCUAAACAUGAUUAGCAUAAGCGAAAUCAGUCGACAAUGUAAACAUAUUUCAUAAAUAUAUAUAUAUAUUGCCUAACAUAAAAUUUCUGUCCAUUUUCCUUAUAUAUGUAUGUGUAUAUAUAUAUAUAUACACUUUUUAAUUUUUACUUGUGUCAGUCAUUGAACUGCGCCAUUAUGGCGUUCCAUAUGGCUUUUUAAACCAGACAAUGUAUUGAAAAGACACACACAUAGAUUGCAUGUCUGAUUUGGAUCACUGGGAGCUGCAGUUAAGUUCUGAUCUUUGUCUAUCUUAAAAUGUCUUUUGAGGCAUCCGUUAGAUUUGCUGACCUAAUGGCAUACACGGCAUCCAAGGAUGUGCACAGAUAUAUAGUAAAGUAGUUGGUGGAUGUUCGUUUUUCAUGGGCCUGCAAAUGAGAUUUGAGCGCAAAAAAGUGCAUUGAACAGAAUCUUGCCCCAAACCAUUGUUUUGUUGAUUUAAGCAAGGCAUUCGAUAACUCUGAAUAGAUAAUGUACUCCAUACAGUAAAAUGGAAACAAAGCUGAUACAAUUAACUGUAAAAUACAUUAACGUUUUAGAACCACGAUUUAACUAUAAUAACAGGAAAGGUGAUUAUAAGACCAGAAUUCAAUUCGAUUCAAAAAGUAACGCUAUCAACUGAAUACCAACGCAGGAAGCUUGCUUGUUUGAAUUAGUUCACUCUGAAAACGCCGUAAGUGAUGGACCCUUUAUGAAAUUGCAGCGACUAGGAUGCAUAAUUGCAUACAGAGCGAUGUGCAGUCGCUGCAGUAGAAACAUAUGUUAGUCAUUAUUAUAUAUGCUGUAAAAACUUUCUAAUGAAAAAGUUUUGGAUGUGAACAAAUCUCCAUUCUCUUCUUGGUGUUCAAUAUUAUAUACAUAUAUAUAUAUAUAUAUAUAUAUAUAUAUAUAUAUAUAUAUAUAUAUAUAUUGAAAUGUAUCCGUCUUGAUAUCAGUACUGAAAUUAAUGUAGCAAACUGGUUCAAAAAGUAGAAACGCCAAAUGGAUAUAUUAAAGUAUUUAACUUUGGCUCCCUGUAUUCAACGAUGCCGAUUUUGACUAAUACGAGGUGGUAUCAAAAAGUGUUCGGACUAGUUAUGCUUAACAGGGGUAAAAGGAGUAAGGAGUAAAGACCCCCUUCGGUCACGAAUAACCAUGGGAUUGCACCUAGAAAGUUACAUUCCGAGGCACAAGACCGGGCAAGGUCGUUUGUGGAAUACCAACAGUCGCCCAGGCAUACCAGCCUCCCCUUUCCACGCCACCGAUGUUAUCCAAGGCAAAGGCAAAGGCCAAUAUUGCUUGGCACCAGUGAUGUCGCAACUCAUUUCUACAGCUGAGUGAACUGGAGCAACGUGAAAUAAAGUGUCUUGCUCAAGAACACAACUCACAACCUCACAAUCGUAAGCUCGACGCUCUAACCACUGAGCCAUGCGCCUUCACUUGUUUAAUAAAAAAUAACUUAUUUACAAUUUAACAUCAUCUCCUUCGAAAUAGUCAUCUCCUUCGAAAUAGUAUUUCGCAGCAAUACACCGGUCCCAGCAUUCCUGCUACUUUUGGGAUCGGGUUUGGAAGUUGUUUUCGUAAGCGAGUCGAGGACUCUCUGCUAAUCCUUCUUGAUCUUGACAACGGUGUUAAAAUGGCGGUCUUGAGCUGCAUUUUCAUCUUGGGAAAGAGAUGGAAGUCCGCAGGUGCUAAAUCUGGUGAAUAGGGCAGGUGAGGAAACAAUACCAUGUUGUUUUGCGCGAGAAACUCACGAGUGAAGAGAGCUCGAUGACAGUGUGCAUUGUCAUCGUCAAGAAUCCAAUUCUUCGCACUCCACAGAACCAGUCGCAGAAGAACUCUCGAUUGAUAGUCUGGCUCAGGGGAACAAAUUCUCGAUGCACAUCGUAAAAAACGAUGAGCAUGCUCUUGAUUGAGUUGCGGGUCUGUCGUGCUCUAUUCAGUCGUGGAGAUGAACGGCUCUUCCAUUCUUGAUGACUGUUGCUUCGUCUCAGAGUCGUACAAGUAGACCCAACUCUCCUCACUGGUGAUGAUCCUCAACAUGAAGGAUAGGUCACCAGUGGCAUGCUGACGGAUCCCUUGACAGACUUCGAUGCGACGUUGUUUCUUAUUUCUUUAUUGCCCACAAGGGGCUAAACACAGAGGGGACAAAAAAGGACAGACAGACGGAUUAAGUCGAUUACAUCAACCCCAGUGCGUAACUGGUACUUAAUUUAUCGACCCCGAAAAGUUGAAAGGCAAAGUCAACCUCGGUGGUAUUUGAACUCAGAACGUAACGGCAGACGAAAUACCUAUUUCUUUACUACCCACAAGGGGCUAAACACAGAGAGGACAAACAAGGACAGACAAACGGAUUAAGUCGAUUACAUCGACCCCAGUGCGUAACUGGUACUUAAUUUAUCGACCCCGAAAGAAUAAAAGGCAAAGUCAACCUCGGCGGAAUUUGAACUCAGAACGUAACGGCAGAGGAAAUGCCUAUUUCUUUACUACCAGCAAGGGGUCAAACACUGAGGGGAAAAACAAGGACAGACAAACGGAUUAAGUCGAUUACAUCGACCCCAGUGCGUAACUGGUACUUAUUUAAUCGACCCCGAAAGGAUGAAAGGCAAAGUCGUCCUCGGCGAAAUUUGAACUCAACGUAACGGCAGGCGAAAUACCGCUAAGCAUUUCUGCCAGAUCGGCGCCUUAAUGCGAUGUUGUUUCUGCUCCGUGGUCAGCAUACAGGGGACAAACUGAGCAGAGACAAGCCACAUGUUCAAUACAGACGUUAAGAUUGCUUGCACGGACCCAUACGACAGACCAACAUCAUCAGCAAUGUCGUUGACUUUCCGACGAUUCUCAUGCACAACAUGAUGAAUUUUUUUCCACACUUCCGGGGGUGACGUUCGUGGUGGGUAUUCGAGAUCGCUCAUCAUCUUCUAGGGACGUUCUUCCGCUUUUGAAGCGCCCAUGCCAUUCGAAACAUUGCGUACGGCAAUAAAAUCAUAGACUACAGAAUGCACGUGAUCACAAAAAUAUAAAUUUCACGACUUGCGAAGUAAACACGGCGACGUCACUCGGCACGCUGCCUCAUGAAGGUCACUGCUAGCUCUCACUGCGCACACAACCAUGUACUGCCAUUUGUUGGCGUGCUACAGAAUAAGUCCGGGGAUGGUUUGCUACCACCUUGUAUGUGACAUUCAUUCCAGUCUAAAAAAUCACUUUAGAAGAACGAUGGUAUGAUAGAAGCAAUAUCACAUCGGACUCAUCGCUUUGCGUUCCAAUUUGCUAAUGCUGACAUUGGCUUUCAUUUUUCGGUGGUGAAUACAGUGAAUGCCAACUAUUACCUCGGUAGGGAGUUAUUAUUAUUACUAUUAUCAUUAUGCUUUGUUGUGCAGUGAGCUGGCAGAAUCGUUACCGCGCCUGACAAAAUACUUAGCAACAUUUCGUCCGUCUUUGCAUUCUGAGUUCAAAUUCAGCCGUAGUCAACUUUGCCUUUUAUCCUUUCGGGGUGUCUAUAAAAUAAGUACCAGUUGCGCACUGGGGUCAACGUAAUCAAUUUAUUCCCUUCCCUGAAAUUGUCCGAUGCUCGAACGUUUCUACCUAACCACCACCAAUUAUUUCUAUUAGGUUGUCCGGAAAGUUCGUACCGAUUUUUAAAGGAAAGAAAAAGGUCAAUAAAUACUUGCCGUUACAUUUUUAAUCAACCAAAUAUGAACCAUUUUGUUGUACAAUGCGUCUCCAUCUUUCCUUUAACUUGAAAAUACCCUCUUCCCAGAAUUGAGGUGGUUUUAUGGCAAAGAAUUCAUCAAGGUAUCUUUUUACGUCAUCCAAGGAAUUGAAAUUUUUACCAUUAAGACUAUUCUACAGAGACCUGAAUUAGUGGAAAUCUGAAGGAGCAAUAUCUGGUGAAUAUGGAGGGUGGGGUAACACAUCCCAGCCGAGCUGCAGCAAUUUUUGUCUGGUUCCCAAAGCAUCAAGUGCCGAAAAUGAACUUUCUUAUCAUCCAUUUUAAAGGGUUAGAGAAUUAACACAGGUUAUAGGAACAUAAACCUUCUUCCACGAAAAUAUAGCUUAAACUGUGCUCUAAAUGGAGGUGUAGUCAAAUCCUAUUUUAUGGACUCAACCAUGUUCUAAAAUAAGUCGAAAGUUAAGCUAUUAUUAAUCGGCACGAACUUUCCGGACAACCCAAUAAUACAGAUACAAGUGCUUUUUUCUAUUUUGUUUUAUUUUUUAUGUGUUUUUAGUUUAUCAAAUUUUCCCAGGUGCUUGACGGAUACUUUUUUUUAGCGAUUCUGAAGAGAUAAAAUUCAGAGCUGACUACGGUGUGAUUUGAAAUCUCUACAUAAAGAAUAACAAUAAAUGCUGCAGGACAUUUUGUCUGCCUCUCUAACGAUUCCGGCUUCGUUGAUAAGUAUUCCAGUUGUUCAUCCAAUGGAACAUUGAGUCAUAAAUAGUUGAGUUAUAAAUAGUUGUAUAUAGUAAUCCUUCUGCUAUAGGUACAAAGCCUGAAAUUCUAGGGAGGGAGGUAAUCAAUAACAUCGACCUCAAUCCUCAAUGGGUGCCUAUUUUAUCGACUCCAACAGGAUGAAAGGCAAAGUCGACCAUGGCAACGUUCGAACACAGAAUGUAAAGACAGACGAAAUGCCGCUAAGCAUUUUGUUCGGUCUGCUACGAGUCUGCCCGCUCGCCACCUUCUGGUUAUACAUAGUAAUGGUUUCAAAUUUUGGCACAAAGCCAGCAAGUUCGAGGGAGAGGUUAAAUCCAUUACAUCGACCCAGUACGCAACUGGUACUUAUUUUAUUAGCCCUGAAAGGAUGAAAGGCAAAAUCAACCUCGUCGGAAUUUGAACUCAGAACGUAAAGACGAAUGAAAUGCUGCUAAGCAUUUUGCUCGACGUGCUAAAGGUUCUGCUAAAGGUUACAUCCAUCCCAGUGCUCAACUGGUACUUAUUUUAUCAACCUCGAAAGGAUGAAAGGCAAAGUCGACCUCGGCGGAAUUUGAACUGGACGAAAUGCCGCAUAGCAUUUUACCUGGUGUGCUAACGAUUCUGCCAACUCGCCGUCUUACGGUUGUAUAUGGUAAUACAAUCUCUUACGCAAUUCACAUAAUCCUCAGACAGAAUCAGUGUGAGAUUACACCAUAAGCUUAUUACACCAUUCUUAUGCAGAAUUACGGCCUACCCAAUUUCAUUCACAAGGUUUUGCGGCAAACCUUGACUUUUGUAGAACGUACUUGCGUAUUGGUGGAGCUGAGCAACGGGAUCUGACUGAAGAAGUAAAGACAGCGAUUCUAAACCAUUCAGCCAUGCCUGAUCCCCAGUCAGCUUUAUCUUCAUUUUACCUCAUAAAUCUGUGGUAUUGUACUUGUUAAAAUCAUUAAUUGCGAGAGUAUAACGUAAGUAAAGAUAAUUAUAACGAUUCUAAUGUGAUGACAAUGACGAAGAUAAUGUUGGUAAUGAUGGCAAUGAUGAUGAUAUUGAUGAGGAUGAGGAGAAGAAUGAUGAUGAGGAUGAUGAUAAGAUGGUGGGGGUUGUACAGUUCCAAGUCACCUGUGGUCAAGCAGCUGCACGAUGGCAUGCAGGUAGCUGAACGAACGACCAGGCGCCAACCACAAAUCUGUUGUUUUUUGUGGGAGUUGUUUGUUCUGGGAGGAUUUUUGUUGUUUUUUUUCUUUUUUGCUGUUGUCCUUAUUACUGCUAUUGUUCCUGUUGUUUAAUCUCGUGUCAUGUCAGGGCCUUACUUUUUCAUAGAAAUAACGAGAUGCUUAAAACGGAACGGCUCUUGGGUGUGUUGAUCGAGGAUCACACUCGAAGUGAUGUACCGAUGAGCAUGAUGGUAAUUACGAAAAAGAAAAGCAUGAGUUUGUAUGGUGAUUUGCAGUAAAAAGAUGAAAAUAAUGAAAGACAUUUUCCUGACAAGUAAAGUCUCCUUCGAAAGGUUUAAUUUAUCAAUGUUUGAUAAUUAUCUUUAAGGCAUAUUAUAUUAGAAGUACUUUCAAAUAACUUAUGAAAGCAAUUGACAGGGAUCAUUAACCUACUGUUACGAACUUCUGGAAGAAGUUCCACAUAAUGGAUGCUGUGGAUAGCAUAGCUAGGUCCUAGAAUGAAAUGAAACACUCAACUUUGAAAGGUCCUUGGAAAAUAUAUGGCGAGACUGAAACCAUGACUUUAUUAGUUUCCCAGUUGCAGAAAGUCUACAUUAAAUUCGAGAAGAUAUUGCGACACUUGCAAAUGAUGCAGGAUUUUAAUAAAUAGUAGAGGAUGAUCUUGCUGAGUUGCUAGUGUCCCAUAGAGAAUGUUUAUCUAACAAAGGGCCGAUGUUGUUAGAACAAGGGCAAGCCGAGAAUACAGCUGAGAAGUUCGCCAAAGAAUAUUACUCAAGAAUUGGCACAUGUAGGGGAAGACCUGCAAGUUUUCGUGGCGCGAUAACAGUCCUAAUCAUGAAAGUAACAUGUAAAUUAGGAGUUUACAAUAAGUUCAGUUCCUUCAAUAAAGUGUAUGAACGGAUAACGUACCAUAAACAUCAAACAAUUUUUGUUUAUAAUUCAUGGGAUGCACGCGAUAAUUAUGGAUAAGCUCUUCGUCUUACAAGUAGAUGGUGGUGAUAUUGAACUAUAAGACAGAAAGAAGAUAGAGUUCAUCACAUUCCCAGUAACUCUUAUUCCACCACCAUCACCAGCAGCAGGACGGGGAUUGGAAGUGCAGGACCCUAUUGGAGAAUAGUCAGUAGGACCCUCUACUCUACAAAAACUGAAUGACCGAUGUUUUAUACUUCGUAUAGUACACCGAUCCCUGCCAAAAAGCGUUGAUGGCUUCAGGCUCCACCAUUAGCCACAAUGAUAUACCGAAAAUUGAAAGCUCAUAUGAAAGCAGACAUUUUCUGGUCUAUUUUAUCUGAGAAGUCUUUCAAAGUCAUUUCAAUGUCAAUCAUUUUUGCAAUGUCAUUUUCUAUAGAUAGCAUCGUCAGAUUAUGUCUCUCUUGUGAAAUUGUUAAGCGUAAGUAUGUUUUAAUCAGUUUUAGCUUUGAAAAAAACUUCUUUCACCUGAUACGACCGUUAGGGGUAUUGUUGAAUAAAUCCUCGAAGCAAUAAAAACAUUAAGAAAUAUUUAAUUCAUCGUAGCGGCCUCUGCUCGAGCAUGUACGCGGGGCCCUCUCUUAGCGCGGGACCCAAUUUGAGCAAAUCUAUCGAAUUGACUUAAAACCAGCCAUGACCACCACUGUCCCUCACACAGUAGUUGACAUUCUUUGUGGUAACAACCUACGCUACUACGAUAUUACGAUUCUUAUUUCUUCCCCGAUGUGUUUCUUCUCAAAGGUUUUUCAUGCAUAUGUAUAUUUAGAAAUAGUUAUUUCCAUGCGUAAAAGUGGUCGUGUUGCUUCCUGCUCUUUUGGAAAAAAUCAUCGGAACGUAUUAUCAUCUCAUAACAUGAGGCUCAAUAGGAAAAUUAAUUCCGCAGGAUUUCGCGUUACGAUAAGCUUCUCGGAACGAAGUGCUCUCCUAAUGAGAGGGAUCCUUGUAUGUGUAUGUGUUUAUAUGUAUAUAUAUGUCUGUGUGUGACUAUAUUACGUAAGGUGUCCUUCGUUUGUUUUUAAGAUAGUAUGUUACUUUGAGGGAAUUUUUCUGUUAUUUCUAGCCUAUCGAGCCACAACACGGUGUCUUCUUCAUUGGCUCUUUUUUCAGGGGUUAGUUAUAGCAAUGUUGCUGUAGCUCUUGUUACUACAACUAUAUGUUGAUGAUAAUGAGGAGCAGGAGGAGCAGGAGGAGCAGGAGGAGGGGAGGAGGAAGAGGAAGAGGAAGAAGUGGAAGAGGAAGAGGAGGGGGAGGGGAGGAGGAAGAGAAGGAGGGGAGUGAGGGGGGAGGGGUGGGGAGUGAGGGGGAGGAGGGGCGGGGAGGGGAGGAGGAGGAGCCACUAGUGUUGGUGGUGGCGAUGAUGGCGGCGGGGAUGUUUUAUAAGGUAGUAAUGGCUGAGUAAUAAGCUGCAGGUCAGCUCUGGUCAAAUAGUAGAUCCGAUGGCAUGCAGACAGGUAGUCGGACGAACGACCAUCGUUCGUCCUAAUAGCUCUUGCUCUUUUUUUUUCUUUUUUCUUUUUUCAGGUAAUUGUUGCUACUGCUCUGUUGUUUCUCUCUCUCUCUCUCACUCACUUACUCUCUCUCCUCUCCCUCCCUCUCUAUAUAUUUAUCUAUCUAUCUCCUCUCUUUCUGUAUCUAUCUAUCUAUCUAUCUAUCUAUCUCAUCUCUCUUUCUUUCUCUCUCUAUCUAUCUAUGUAUCUCCAUCUCUCUCUAUCUAUCUAGUUAUCUAUAUAUCUAUCUAUCUGCAUCACCAUUUCUCUCUCUCUCUCUCACUCUCUCUAUCUCUAUCUAUCUAUCUCCAUAUCUCUCUCCCUUUCUCUAUCUAUCUAUCUCCAUCCCCAUCCCUCUCUCUAUUAUCAUAUAUCUCUCUAGCUAUCUCUGUUUCUCUCUUACUUUAUAUCAAUCUCUCUAUAUAUCUAUCUAUCAAUCACUGCCUUCAUAUCUCUUUCUACCUAUCAAUCUAUAUCUCCAUCUACCCCUCUCUUUCUCUCUCCCUCCCUCCUUCCCCCUCCCUCCCUCACUGUUGCUGUUUUUGCUGCUGUAGCAGCCACACAUUAAACUAACCAAUCAAAUCUCACCACCAUUACCACUUCCUCCUGACUACAAGCACCACAACAACAACGGCUGCUUUAGUACAACCAAUCAUAUCUCAACCCUAAUACUGUCGACACAACCCAUUAUCACGACACCAGCACCACUACCACCGCUACACCGACACUACAAUAAAUCAUCCCGUUGCAACAACCACUACAGUGAUAUAACAACCACUAGGAAAUUACAACCAAUUACAACAUCUACACGAUAUCAAUCGUGUUACCACCGCAACCAUUUCACCACUGCAACCACCACAUCAGCAAUAAUUCUACUAUUAGUAAAACCACAAAAUCAUCCGGGUUCAGUCCCAUUGCAUGGCACCUUGGACAAGUGUCUUCUGCUAUAGCUUCAGACCGACCAACGCCUUGAUAGUGUGGAUUUGGUCGACGGAAACUAAAAGAAGCUCGUCGUGUGUAUGUAUGUGUAUAUAUAUAUAUAUAUAUAUAUAUAUAUACACACACAAGUAAGCAGAGAUGUGCAAAACAAGUAUGUAUACGUGAUCCUGGGUUCAGUCUCACUGCGUGGCACCUUGAGCAAGCGUCUUCUACUAAAGCCUCGGGCCGACUAAAGCCUUGUGAGUGGAUUUGGUAGACGGAAACUGAAAGAAGCCCGUUUCGUGUGUGUGUGCGUGUGUGUGUGUAUGUGUGUGCGUCCCUGAUCACCCACCUUGACAACCGAUGUUGCUGCGUUUACGUCUCCCGUAACUUAGCGGUUCGGCAAAAUAGACCGAUAGAAUAAGUGCCAAGCUUCAAAAAAAAAAAUAGAAAAAAUACUGGGAUCGAUUUAGUUCGACUAAAAAUUCCGCAGUCUGAUGCCCCAGCAUAGCCGCAGUCUAAUGACUGAAACAAAUAAAAGAUUAACAGAAUAGAUUAUAAAGAUUACCUCUACACCAUCAUCACACUACAAAAUACCAAACUACAAUAACAACAAGAACAACAACGGUCACAUCGAUAUCUCUACCAUUAUUACCACCAGAUCAAUCACAACCACCAUCAACAACUCCGUCGCCUCCACCACCACAGCAAUAUCACCACACUGCAUCAUCACUACGACCGCUACACUGGAACAGCAGACAAAAAAAAUAAAACAAAAACCACAGCCAUCACUACUACUACUACUGUAUUAACGCCACCCACAAUUCAAAGCGUCAGCCAGUGUUUCCCCAGGAAUCUCCUAAAUCAUUGGAGACCUCCCUUUCUCUCCGUUUGGAGGCACCUGAUUUGUUGCCUGAUGCCGAUUGCGACUGCUGCUGUAGUCGUCUGGCUUAGAGUCUUCUUCUAUAUGAUGAUGUUCCACCUUUCUUAACACACACGCACACACACCUACAAAGACACAGAGAGAGAAGGAGAACGAAAAAGUAAUGGUAGGGGUUCUUUAUUUUCCACCAAUGAAAACAACACCAAGGGAUCGUCUGCGCGGUCACCGGACCUGCUAGAAAUAGCUGCCAAACCUUCCUCAAAUCUCACUUCGCCGUCUUAAACAGGUGAAGGAUACGUUGUAAAUUUAUAGGUCAGAUUGCACUAUGUCCGAAUAGAGAGACAAGACAGUCACGGAUGAAAUAUCUUUGAUUAUACGUUUGCUCGUUAGCAGCUGACCUGGUGCUACACACCAGCAUCAACAUUAUUUCGACAAACCAAUGAGGAAGUUCGUAUCCUGGUCACAUGAACUGCUAGAACUAACAGCUAAAUCUCCUUUCAUUUAUAUUAUGUCGUUCUAAACUGGAAAUCACAUUAGAUAAUGUAAUCUUGGAUACACUAUGUUUAAAUAAUAAACAGGAUGGUCACGGUAGGAACGCCUUAAUCCGAGGUUUGCUUGAACAUGGCUGACCUGGGGUUAAACAACAACAGUGUAGCGUUAUUUUCGAAGCCGAUUAUUAAAUGAGUAGGCGUUCAUGUGACACGCUUUCCUCCUCCUACUGCCCUACCACUUCCACUGUUACUAACUGUGGAUAUUUAUUCAACGUAGGGUAGUACACUCCCAAAUAUAUCACACACAUAUACAUGAGGUAAACACCAACAAGGACGCAGAAAUAGCAACUAAAUAUCCCUCAAAUCCCACUUUACUCUCUAGAAAAAAGAGUACGUUGGAUAACGUGAAACUGGGUUUCUUGCACACAAGAAAAAUGAUGGAAUGGAUGGGAUAGUCACGACCAGAACGCCUUUGAUCACAGAUCUUCUCGAUAAGGCUGUCUAAGGACUAAACAACAACAAAAAUGGGAACAAGAACAACAGCAUGAAGUAACACGUAAUUUUUUGUAUUACAUUUUGCGCUAGAGAAUUUGUGAAUUGGUAGAAUCGAUAGAGAAGCGGGCAAAUGUCUUGCAGUAUUUAAUUAAUCUCUAUUCUCUAGUUCAAAUUUCACAAAGGUUUAUCUCUGCCUUUCAUCAUUCCAGGGUUGACAAAAUAAAGUACAUGCCAAGUACUAGGGUCGAUAUAGCUAGUUCUACUAAAAGGCAAAGGAACUGAAAUCAUGGAGGAGACUUGUUGAUUACAUCGACCCCCACAAAGCUGAACUGGUUUUUAUUUUAUGGAUCGCGAAAGGAUGAAAGGCAAAGUCAACCUUAGCGGAAUUUGAACCCAGAACGUUUAGAUGGAAGAAAUGUCGCUAAGCGUGCUAACGAUUCUUCCUGCUCGUCGCUUUGGGGGUCGAUUCAGUCAACUGACCCAGUGGUCUCGACUGGGGUCCAUAUGACCCGUGAGAGGGAGGGGUCCAUAUAAGAUUUUGUUGUUAAAAUUUAUCUACGAUAAAUCGCUUAUAGUUUUAAAAUAUACAAAAUCUCUUAAUUUUUUUAAUACAAUUUGUAAUAAUAUUUAAUUAUAAAAAUAUAAUAAGAUUUUUUAAAACAUCGAAUUUGCUGUGAGGAUCCAUCCAAAUGAAAUAGAAAUCAAAAGGGUCCAUAGGCAAAAAAUGGUUGAGAACCAACAGAUUAACCCCUUCUGAAUUUCUGUACUUGUGCUGACGACAAAUAUUAUUAUCAUUGAAGACUAACAGAAUCGUUCAAGUUUCAAAAUGCCCCGUAGUUAUUUUUCUGGGUCUUAACGUUCUGAGUUCAAACCCUACCAUGACCAGGUUUGCUUUUCAGUCCUCCAGGGUCGAUAAAAGGAAGCACAUAACAAGAUCUCAGAUCAGUUUGACUUACCUCUUUCCACCAAAUUCCUACCCUUAUUAGAAACAAUUAUUAUAAUGUAAUGAUAGGAUUGACUACCCGACACAUAGACUCACAACCAACUUUCCUGCGUCAGUAAAAUAAGUUCCAAUCAUUAUUGGUAUCAUGAAAUCUAUUGUACUCUCCCGCCAAAAGUCUUGACCUAGUGCCAGCACUAAUGAUCAUCUUCAUUAUUAUAAAAGUAUCAGUCUCAAAUACUAUUUUUAUAACCUAACCCCCUCCCGAGAGCUCUGCAAUUUCUUGCUGAACAACCAAACUUUUUUUGUAGUGACCAAAUGUUUGUGCUCACAGAAGCUUACUCCCUCCAUCAGGUCAACAUUGUCUGUACAGGUACUUGGUGUGCCAAGUGUCAGAUGUGGAAAUGAUGAAAUAAUCGCAGAGCAACAUGAAAUGAAGUGUUUUGCUCAAGAAUACAACGCACCGCCCGCUCUGGGAAGCGAAACCACGAUCUCGCCACACCCUAACCACUAAACUAUGUAUGUAUAUAUAUAUAUAUAUAUAUAUAUAUAUAUAUAUAGUUAAUCCAAACAAGAAAGCACAAAAAAACACAACGCGAGGACGUGGAACAAAUAUAGUAUUAUUGGAUGCUCAGGAAAGAAUAUAUAUAUAUAUAUAUAUAUAUAUAUAUAUAUAUAUAUAUAUAUAUAUAUAUAUAUAUAUCAUAACAAAAUAAUAUAUAAACAUAUGCAUAUAUACAUACAUAUAUGUAAUGUACAUAUAUACAUACAUAUAUGUAAUGUACAUAUAUACAUACAUCUAUAUGUAUAUAUACAUGCAUAUAUGGGUACAGGACACAAAAAAAACGUUGAACACAAUGAGAAACAAAAACAUAAAAACAAAAGCAUGGAAACGGACUUUUUUCAAAGAACGAAAAAACAGAGCACAAGACAUACAAUACAAGGAAUAUUCCCCUUCUUCAGUUGUCCCUGUUUCGGCUACUCUGCGUUUAUAUAUAUAUAUAUAUAUAUAUAUAUAUCACAAUCAAUGAACGGCCAUAAUAGGCCAUUCACCCACUAGAAAUAACAGCCAAAAGCUUUAACCGCAAAAUAACAUCAAUUCCGUAUAUAUAUAUAUAAUGUGUAUAUAGUAUGUGUGUAUAUGUGUAUGAAAAUAUGUAUGUAUUUGCAUGUAUAUAUUUAACGUAUGUAUGUUUGUUCCUUUCCUUCUCUUUUUCAUUUAAGGUAAAUUUUGACCGGUCAUGUACUUGGUAGCAAAAUUGUGAAAGAAUGUAUCUUCUAACCAUCCUUUACAUCUUAGGAAUGUCGUGUAGAUUCUUAUAGUCCUAGAUAUCAUGAUCAUAUGGAUUGAGGAUUUGCAUUUUCCCCCCAAUUUGAAACGGGUUGGUAUAUAUCCUGUUGCU
rnacentral:lncRNA from 1 species